UACGAAGGGGGCUAGCGUUGCUCGGAAUCACUGGGCGUAAAGGGUGCGUAGGCGGGUUCUUAAGUCAGAGGUGAAAUCCUGGAGCUCAACUCCAGAACUGCCUUUGAUACUGAGAGUCUUGAGUAUGACAGAGGUGAGUGGAACUGCGAGUGUAGAGGUGAAAUUCGUAGAUAUUCGCAAGAACACCAGUGGCGAAGGCGGCUCACUGGACACAUAUUGACGCUGAGGUGCGAAAGCGUGGGGAGCAAACAGG
rnacentral:rRNA from 1 species